AUCGAUGUGACCUUUCCUGUAUAAAUCUUAGCUGAGGCUGUCAUUAAAACCAAAUAGUAUUUAUUUGGUCAAAUAAAUGUCCCUGUUGUGCUUUAGGGUGGGUGUUAGUAAAACGUAUUUGGAUGCCAAGUGUUGUCUCCGCCGCUCCACCGUCCGCUACGGAGGUUGUCACUUUCCUCGGGAAAACGGUCGGCGCAGGCGCGGCACUGACAGCUGCUGUCUACUUACUCCGCAAAGUGUGUUUAAUAAUGGCCUGGAAAUCCGGAGGAGCUAGCCACGCAGAGCUUGUUAACAACCUCCGCAAAAAUGGAAUUAUUAAGUCCGACAAGGUCUAUGAAGUCAUGCUGGCCACAGACCGAGCCCAUUUCUCUAGGUGUAAUCCGUACAUGGACUCUCCACAGUCGAUAGGCUAUCAAGCAACCAUCAGCGCCCCGCACAUGCACGCCUACGCCCUGGAGCUUCUACACGACCAGCUGUAUGACGGAGCCAAAGCUUUGGACGUGGGCUCCGGCAGUGGAAUCCUGUCCGCCUGCUUUGCACGAAUGGUCGGAGAAAAAGGGAAAGUUAUAGGAAUUGAUCAUAUCAAAGAGCUGGUAGAUGAUUCUGUAACUAAUUUGAAGAAAGAUGACCCCAGUUUGAUAACAUCGGGCAGAGUCAAGCUAUUAGUGGGAGACGGGCGAAUGGGCCACACCGAGGAAGCUCCUUAUGAUGCCAUCCACGUUGGUGCAGCGGCACCCAAUGUCCCCCAAGCUCUCCUGGACCAGUUGAAGCCCGGCGGCCGGCUGAUUCUGCCCGUCGGCCCGGCGGGGGGGAACCAGAUGCUGGAGCAGUACGACAAGUUGGAGGACGGCAGCACCAAAAUGAAGCCCCUGAUGGGAGUGAUUUAUGUGCCUUUAACAGACAAAGACAAGCAGUGGUCCAGGUGGAAGUGACUUCUUCUCCCCCCCUCCCCCCUGCCCCCCCCCCCCCCGCCUCCUCCCACGAUCUCCUCACAGUGGAAAAGGGAUGAACUUUGAAGAUGAAGACGGUCCGUGAUCCACCUUUUAAGUUUUGAACCCGGAGGGAACUUGGACGGGGUCAAUCAGGCCGAUGACAUUUUGUUCAAAGCGUAACAAAACAUGCUCUUUUUGUUUAAGUCUAACGGUGGACUAGAGUAUCGCAUUGUCUGCAGCCCAGGCGGGCCGGGAACAAAGACUGCUUGAAGCUUGGCACAGAAAAAUAUUUGAGAAGACAUUUCUUUUUUUUUUCUUUUUUUUUCCAGGCCUGCAUAUUUUUCUUUGCAUUAUUUUUAACUGCUGGAUUUUAGGUUUUGAUUGUGUUCUUUUUUGUUUAGUUUAGUUUUUUUAGGGGGUUUCACUAUUUGAAAUGCAAUCAGCAAUUUCUACAUUACUACAAAUGUGGAAGAAACGCUUGACAAGGACCUGAAAGGCCUGAAUCUUUGUGUGUGUGUGUGUGUGUGUGCGCGCGUGUGUCAGUCAUCCAACUGUAGACUUUUCUACUAACGGAUGAGCUUUCCCCCUGCCAGCAGUAUUAGGAACAUACACACAGGCAACACUAUGGCUGACCCACACGACCUGUUGCCCUGUUAAUGUCAUGCUACACAGAGAAUAAGCCACACAUUGGAUCACACUGAAUAUCCUCCAGAGUCGCGCACUAACAGCAGCGCAUCCGGGGCUGUGUUUUUGCUUUCUGCCGCUGGUUUUCCAUCAGCGAAGAAUGCAGGCGCUUUCUGUCACUGCUUUGCCAAAAUAAACGAUAUAAAGCAAAUGAAUGUUUUUGUUUCUCUAAAUCAAAAAGCACAUUUUAUUUUGGGUGAAGAUGAUGUAUGGCUGUCGGGAGUUUAUGGAAUGACACAUGGAAAUAAAGAGAUUAUGUUUUUGUCUGCCUA